rnacentral:rRNA from 1 species
UACGAAGGGGGCUAGCGUUGUUCGGAAUUACUGGGCGUAAAGCGUGCGCAGGCGGCUUCUCAAGUCAGGGGUGAAAGCCCAGAGCUCAACUCUGGAAUUGCCUUUGAGACUGAGUGGCUUGAGUACGAGAGAGGUGAGUGGAAUUCCCAGUGUAGAGGUGUAAUUCGUAGAUAUUGGGAAGAACACCGGUGGCGAAGGCGGCUCACUGGCUCGUAACUGACGCUCAUGCACGACAGCGUGGGGAUCAAACAGG